UGGACAGGACAAAGAAGGGUUUCCCAGGCAGACCUCUAAAAAAAUCACAGAGAGAGAGAGAGAGAGAGAGAGAGGCAUUGGAGAGAAAGAAAAACUUGGAGAUUAUAAAACAUAUGAUCAUCUUCUUGUAAACAGGAUCUGUAAGCUGCCCACUUGGAGAGUUUUGAAUUAAUUAUAUUUUAUAGGAGAUUAAGAGAGUUAAUUAAGAAUUAAUGGCAAGGAUUAACAGAGGGCAUUGAGAGAAGAGAGAAGAGUCCGUGGCAGUGGCUAUAGACAAGGACAAAGGAAGUGAAAAUGCCAUCAAAUGGGCUGUUGAUCAUCUUCUCACAAGAGGCCAACCUCUCACGUUGCUGCAUGUUAAGCACACAUCGUCUUCUGAAGGAGCCGACAGCCAAGGUGGUGGUUCUCAAGCCCAAAGCCUGUUUCUUUCGUACCGUUCCUUUUGCUCCAAAAAGAAUAUUCAAACUCACAGACGUUCCAAGCACAGUGUCAUUGUCAAAGGGGGCACCAGAUUUUUGCUCUGUUUACGUGAUUGGCAAGGGAAAGGUUUGACUUUUUAAAAAUGGCAAAUAUGAUAAACCUUAUUGGCCUUGUCGACUCUGCACAAUUUAGCGCUCAAUCUGGAUCGCUAACUCAAAGAUCACGGCAUCUAGCAAACCAACUGAAAAAGGCAGAUGGGGAUUAUCAAAUUUUUUUGGUGCCUUAUAAUCCAGGGGGUCAUUGGGUGUUGAUAAUUGUGAGACCACAAAAGGAGACCGUAUAUUAUAUGGAUUCAUUACCAUAGCGCACGGUUGACUAGGAAUGCAAAAAUAUAGGGACUAUUGCAAUCAAAAUGUAUAACGCACACGCAAGCAAACAUUCUCGCAAAUCAGCCAUUUGGAAAACUCUACAAGGCACUCCAAAGCAACCAACCAAUGUAGAGUGUAGCUACUACGUGAUGCGUUUUAUGAGAGAUAUAAUCAGGGAUCCUACCCUAGAAUUUG